GUCCUGCUUAGAUUUUCCUCUGUUUUGCUCGGAGCGAUGGAAACCCACAGCUCCUGUAGCAUCGCAAACGACGACGGCGAAUGGAGAGCCGAAAAAGCUAUAGGCGGCAACGCCCAAGCUCUCAGAGAAUGAACUCAUCGAAAGGUGGUAGCUUUUCACUUGUUUCGUCAUUGAAAAUGUAAACUUUCGCUUCCCAGACAAGCUUGGUCCGCGCAGUGGUUCAGGAAUGUGGUGCGCAUCAGUCCACAUACUGUUCACAGAUCGAGCUUAUACUGGAGAGAGUGAGUUGGCACUGCGAGAGGCACAUACAUUGUCAGGGAAGCCAUCAGUUGUGUUUAUAGAUCGAUGAAAUCGAUGCUCUCUGUCCUCGCCGUGAUUCUAGGUAUGGUACAAACCAGCAUUGCCUGUUUUUCCUACUUGGAGCUUUUAGCUGGUUGUGAUCUUUGUUGGGUGAAGGGGGAGGAAACAUGAUGCAGUUGUUUGAGUUUUGUUUCAAUUGCAGAAGAGAGCAAGAUGUUCGUAUAGCUGCUCAACUGCGUCAUCUAAUUCUCAUUCUAUAAAAUUUUGAAAUUUGGAGCCAUUUCAAGUCCAUAAGGGGUUGCAAAUGCAAGGCACAACAGUUAGUUAUGUAUGAAAGUCCAUCUCAGUCGGAACCUCAUUAUGAGUACUCUAUUACUGGAGUCAGUAUACUAUACAAAGCAGAACAAGCAUACCUACUUGGUACCCUAAUGCUAUACUGUAACUUUAUAUCAUACAACAAUCUAAUGGCCCAAUUAUUCCUACUCAGACUAAUUUCAUGUUUCAGUAGUUUCCAUCCGCUACCAACCAAGAGAAAAUCUACACAACUCUCAGCAACAUGAAGAACACCAUUGCGAGUUUCACAAGUAACUAGGACGGACACUACUCGUAAUCCAAUUAAACCUUUCCUAAUAGCUAGCGGUAAUGGCCAGUACCACUCUCACCCCCUUCCUCAAGGCUCUCACUUUAUACCCAAAAAUCCAACACCCCACAACUUCAUUUUCACCCUAACAAAAACAGCAUAAGCAGAAACAAGUUUAGGUUAUAUAUGAAAGAGGGCUUACUCUGCCUUCAGGGCUACUCUUCAUUCUCUGAACAACUCUUUGGAAUGCCGUUGUCUCCCCCAGAGCUGCUAUCAGGUCAGCUCUUCUUGGGUCCAGCAAUGCCCCCACCGCGGACCCAACUGCCACAGCCGCCUGCUGCCACCGGUUCAGCCGAACACGAGCACCUCCGCUGCUACCCACUUUUCCUUCCCAUUACAAACAUAUAUUCACUGAGACAUUUUCACAAACACCUUGCGGGCAUGAACAGCAUUCAAUUGAAACAACAACAAUCAAAUUCACAAGAAACUGAAGCACCUAUUUAUGAAUUAUUGAUUCUUACCUCAGACAUGUGUCCAUCUAGCCCCUGCUAUGUGCUGUCGCGUAGAGAGAGAGAGAGAGAGAGUAACUCCACCGCUCUCUACCAUGGCCGCCGAUGGUGCUUCUCUGGUCAGUCCCUUCUUCUUCUUCUAUCAAAUUGGCUCCAAUUUCUGGUGAAAUUAUCUGGCAGUUGUAAGGGAAGCUGAUUUGGUCAACAUUGUUCUUUUACAUGCAACUCCAGGGACUAGAAAAACCGCUUUAUGUAAAGCAUUAGCUCAAAAACUAUCCAUCUGAUUUAACUCCAGAUGAUGAACGAGAAAUCCAGUAAUUGUGCAAUUUAUGAGAAUUCGAAUCUUGCAUCUAUCUGUGCUGUUUGUGUCAAUUCCAGAAAACAGGGAAGGGUAGGAGACUUGGAAAGGGAGGAUUUCAAACAUUUUUACCUAAACACUUGGUGAUUAAUUCUGCUCUGCUUUUCAAGUCAUUCUUUUGCAUAUAUCAACAGAGAAUCUCUUCUUUCUUGCUUCUGGGGCCGUCUUAUUUGCUGAUCUCGGUGAGUUGUUUGUGUUUUAUUUUCUAUUGGAAUGGUAUUUUUUGUUUUGAUUAUGCUACAUUCAUGUCUAAUCAAUUAUUUUUUAUAUUCUGUUUCUGGUUUUGCUAUUCAUUCUCUUCCCAUUGCUGUUGCUGCUCUCCGAUUUUGUUGUUCGCCCUGCAUGCAUAAAUUGGCUCUUCGUUGCCUAUUUGGCAUUGUUCUUUUACAUGGGCCUCGAGGGACUAGAGAAACUGCUUUAUGUAAAGCAUUAGCUCAAAAGCUAUCCAUCUGAUUUAACUCCAGCUUGCGUUGGUUGAGGUUUUUGGGGUAGACCAAUCAGUUGCAUUGAAACUACUGGGAUCUGGAAGAUCAUUCGAAGCUCUCGAAGGGACACAGUGCAGAGAGUUAGAAAAUUAGUUCAGUGGGGGAUUUUCAGAUUAUGAGCACUUGCAGAGGACGUUAGCCAGGGAAUUUCAGCAGAUGUAGUCCAAGUAUGCAGAGGAUUAGAGAAUUGAUUACUGUAGCUUGGGGAUUGUUAUCUCCUCCUCUAUGAACGUUGGAUUGUGUUAGUUAUGUAGUCAAUAUAUUCAACUUCACAACUUAUUGUUCUCUCCCCCUGAUUUAUUUCUCUGCUAAUUUUUAGAUCAGAGCUUUGUGUACUUUACAUUUUCUUUAUUGCAUUAGGAUUUUAGGUGCUAUCGUUUUCUGACCAUAAUUCUGUGUUUGAAUUUGUUGUUUUGAAUUGGUUU